CAAUUCAUUUGCAGUUACGUUGCGUUAAUAUGCCUGCGUAUGCGUGACGGUUCGAUUAGAAUUUCAUAAAACAUGGGUUUUCUUUCCAUAUAUAUGCCAAAUUGAAGUUUAACAAAAUAACACGUAUAUCGUAUUUAUUUAUUGCAUCGUGCCUGCUCUUCUUUGCAACUAGGGUCCGCGAUACGCUACGACACGGUUAGAAAACCAGCAAUAUCUUCGCAAAAAUAACGGUUUCUUUUCGAAAACAAGAAGAGUAAUUUAUAACUGUAGAUUAAAAUUGGGCAGCCGGUAUAAUCCACUCUGAAGAAAAUCAGACAGAGUACGAAGCAAUCGUUUCAGGACUCGAAAUUCUCGUACUUCCUUGGCAAAUUUUCAACGACGAAGGCUUCGAAAAUGAUCGCUGGAUAGAAUUUCUAGACCUAUCGCCUUCACGAAAUGACCGACCAGGAAAGAUCGAGCCGCGAUUCGAGUCGUCAAUCGAGUCGUCCAUCGAGUCGUCAGCCGAGCCACGAACCGAGUAGAGAGCUGAAAUCUCGUAACAAUUCUACGCCAAAUCACUUCGAUUGCGAUGCUCGAUGCGUGUCUCCUAGCACAGGGGAAGAUCCAACACUGAUCCCCAUCGAAUCGUACGAAGUACGCGCUUGCGACGCACGCUGUAUGAUGUCUAACUCUAAGGGACGAUCAGAGGAAGCAUCCAAGUCAAAAAAUUGUGGGUACAAGUACUGCUGAAAGAAGCAGAAGAUUGGACGUUGGUCUGCGUUGAAGAAAACGCUUCUGGGUGGCGGAGAUAAUCUUGCGUCGAGCUGAAACAACACCUUUCUUCUUCCUCUCUUCAUCUCUCGUUGCAAGACGUCGGUGAAAAAUGCCUGUCAUCAUAGGAUGCACGAAAGAGAACAAUUGCAAAAAGCUUGCAUUUUUAAAAGCCAAGAUGCUUGAACAAGCUCGGGCCGCAGAGAAGAGCAAGAGCAACGAGGUGGGUGCUAGCUCGGAGAAACCCAUGGAAACGCCCGUACGUUCGACCGACACCGAGUUGAACCGCGAGCCAAGAAUCGUGGAACAGCUGGAGGACGAAGAAGUCGAGCAAGGACCGAUAGAAGGAACCGAGGUUCCAGCUGAACUUCGCGAAACAGCUGGCCAAGCUGAAGCAACAAAUAACGAAGACCCAACUGACGCCUAGGGCAUUUGAAAAUUCAUCAGCACCAGCCAAGAAUAUUAUCGAAUAAAGGAGCGAAGAACUUGACCACGGAGCAGAAAUCUUGGCAACGGACGCUCCUGAUUUACUGACAGUUAGAAAGCCAGCCGCCGGGAAACGCGCGACAGCCUCCGAGGAAGACUCGUUUAGCCGCGUAAUCACCGGAGGCGGAUUAAUUCGCCGACAUCGAGGAGCUGUGCAAGCUCGCGAGGCUCGGCCGUGCAACGAGAGGAAAACGAGAGGCAAGAAAUCAAGGGAACCUUUUGUGCUUAACGACAGCCAGAGCCCGGCGGAGUCCUUGGAAAAGAGGUCGCGCGGUGGUUGUUCGGCGCCGUGGACGAGAUCAAGUUCCGUUGGUUCUUUGCCCGGUCAUGUUGUAUCGUCGUGGCUCGCUCAGAAUCGAAAUCGAAUUAACGCGACCGAGGAAUUGAAACGAGACGAUCCGAAGCAGCUUAGAGUCGUUGGAUGUUUCUCGGAGAUCGGAAAAUUGGUUCGUCCGAGGAUAUGGAGAGUGAACCUAACGGGCGACAGGAAAUAGAAGAAAUUAAAGAGGCCGACGAGGUUGCAGAAGAGGCCGAGGGAGAGGAAGGUACCGAAGAGAAGACAACGAAAGCAGGAACUUUGGACGAAACCGCAGAGAGGAAGCCGUUGAAGCAGGAUGAAUCGGUGCAGUUAUCGAUAAACGAAGAAUGCCCGUCUCAAGAGUGGGACGAACACGCGAAAGAAAGAUUCGACACGGCCGUCUUCACUUUGGGCACGUGCGCUGCGGUUUUCGCUGUCUACAUUUACAUCGUGUACAGUUUGAGCAGUCCACCGACCGUGUUGCAUCGAGUCUAACAGCGGUUCCCUAAUCAAACGAUCGAAAGACCGUGCAAGUCGAACGCCAGAGUCCACUGUUUGCGACAGCUGUGUACAAAAGCAGUGUAUCCGAAACGUAAAAUAUACCGAGCAGAAGAUGAAUUUCAGCGCAAUGUUUUCUUUAACACAGAGACUCGCUGACGGAGAGACUUUAACAAGCUCUUCGAGGAACGAAUCGUACAUUUUACGUAUUUACAUAUUUCAUUACAAAUUAUAUACGAUACUUUGGAAUUUCAUUAGCACUUGAACUCCACUUGACUAUCGUUGUUACGUUAAUAACGGCUGAAACGAACCUGAGAACGUAUGUAGAAAUUUCCAGAUACUACUCGAUAUUGCAAAGAUCGUCAGGAUAUUGGCAAGACCAAUUAUUGACUAUAUUAAUAAAUCUCGAUAUCUAGUCGGGCCAUUUUUACCACUAGCUGCGUCUUUGAAACCGCUCCUCAUCUUGCAUACUAAUUUUAACAAUGACGUUGAAUGUACGUUCACGAUGAACGUCUUGCAACUUGCUCGUAGACUUUUGGGUCGAUCUGGAAUUUCGCUAUUGCAAUUAGGAUAUUGUCGUGUCUUCGUUACACAGCUAACCAAGUUCCACAAAGUUUCGUUCGAUGCACGUAAUAUAUUCAUGAAAAAACGUUAAGGUACUCGAGGACUGUUGUCGCGAUUGUAUCGAUAAAGUUUGAAAAGGAUCCGAGGGUGUAUGCAUGUAGAGACGAGGAGAUAUUUAUUGGAAACUAUUUCGCCAAGACCGCCAAUUUGAAAGAUCAAUUAUUCGCGAUAUCACUAUGCCAGAAUAUUCAGCGUGAUCGUGUAUAACGGUAAUUUUACGAUGCAGACUACUCUGUUAACGCCCUAUGCUAAUUUUUCACCGAAUUUAUGUUUUCAAGGAAUAUCUUGCAGCUUCUAUACGCAUCUUCGGCUUAGUUUCGAAAUUUACCAGCAGAAUCGGGACAAUCCUGUCUCGUUACGGUAUUAACGAAGUUUCAAAAAGUUUGGUACAAUGUGCGUAGUAUGUUCAUAAAAAAAAAUUCUAUAUUAAAGUGUUUGAGUGCUUUUGCGA
rnacentral:lncRNA from 1 species